rnacentral:rRNA from 1 species
GGCUUUUUGAAAAUAAUUUAAAGUUUGGCCUGCCCACUGAAUUUUUAAAGGGCCGCGGUAAUUUGACCGUGCUAAGGUAGCAUAAUCAUUAGUUUUUUAAUUGAAAGCUGGUAUGAAUGGUCGGAUGAGAAAAUAACUGUCUCUAUUUAAUUUUUAUUGAAUUUUAUUUUUAAGUAAAAAAGCUUAAAUUUAAUUAAAAGACGAGAAGACCCUAUAGAGUUUUAUAAAAUUUAAAUUUUAAAUUUUUAGAAUUAUUAUUUUGUAUUUUAAAUUUUAUUUGAUUGGGGCGAUUGAAAAAUUUAAUAAACUUUUUUUUUAUAAAAACAUUAAUGUAUGAAUUUUUGAUCCAUAAAUAAUGAUUAUAAGAUUAAAUUACCUUAGGGAUAACAGCGUAAUUUUUUUUGAGAGUUCAAAUCGAAAAAAAAGUUUGCGACCUCGAUGUUGGAUUAAAAUUAAUUUUUGGUGUAGAGGCUAAAAAAUUAGGUCUGUUCGACCUUUAAAAUUUUACAUGA